UACGUAGGCAGCGAGCGUUGUUCGGAGUUACUGGGCGUAAAGGGUGCGUAGGCGGUUCGCUAAGUUGGAUGUGAAAACUCUGGGCUCAACCCAGAGCCUGCAUCCAAUACUGACGAGCUAGAGUUCUGGAGGGGGUAGCGGAAUUCCUGGUGUAGCGGUGAAAUGCGUAGAUAUCAGGAGGAACACCGGUGGCGAAGGCGGGUCUCUGGGCAGUAACUGACGCUGAGGCUCGAAAGCGUGGGGAGCAAACAGG
rnacentral:rRNA from 1 species